ensembl:lncRNA
GUAAGCAGAGUGCAAAUUGACACCGGAGAUUAACUGGAAGCUAGAUUUGACAGAUCUGUGUAAACCAGUGAGGGAGCGUGCAGCUGCCAUGGCUUUUGGUGGUCUACUAAAUAAAGAUGACAUUGUGAUCUCAUGGAUAAAGUAGGGAAUGCUGCUUGCAGAGGAAGAACCAUUCAGAAGUGAUAUUUCAAAGAAGAGUGAAAUGCCCAUCUUACGUCAAUCAGUUGAAGAUCAUUUAGAGGAUAAUGAAGCACAGAGCAGAGGAGCCGGUUCUCCAUUUCCAUUGUUAUUUGCCAUGCCAACAAGCAAAAGGCAAA